CGCAGAACAAUAAGUUCUGGGACAGUGAUUCUCCUGUAGCACAUGCUUAUGGAAGCCUUUGCGGGCCCGUCAAGGGUUGCUGUCACGACUAUAAAUAAACAACAGCCUUAGCGCAAGUCAGCUUGCUGGCAACAUAAUCGAAUUGCGGGGAGCCCUAAAGCCAGUAGCACCAACCCUGGGCGGAAACGCCUGUGGGGCCUGUGGUAACAACGCAGGGUGGUUAUAGCCUACGUGGAUCGAGCAAUGGGUAAUCCGCAGCGAAACUCCUAAGGCCUUAGGGCUACGGAGGACGUUCACAGACUAAGCGAUUAUGGGCAUGGAUUGUGAUCUAUGCUUAAGAUAUAGUCGGGUCCCUAGAGAAAUUUAGGGGUUAAACUGUUCCGUAGGUGAACCUGCGGAAGGAUCAUUACCGAGUUCGUGCCCCUCGGGGCAGACCUCCCACCCUUGUGUAUCAUUACAAAAUGUUGCCUUGGCGCGCCGUACGCACAGCCUACCCGGAGAUCUUCCCCGGUGCGCGCGCCAGAGGACCUUAAACCCUAAGUAUUAGUGUUGUCCGAGUAUUAUUUAAUUGUUAAAACUUUCAACAACGGAUCUCUUGGUUCCAGCAUCGAUGAAGAACGCAGCGAAAUGCGAUAAGUAAUAUGAAUUGCAGAAUUCAGUGAAUCAUCGAAUCUUUGAACGCACAUUGCACCCCUUGGUAUUCCGGGGGGUAUGCCUGUUCGAGCGUCAUUAGAACUCCUCCAGCCUGGCUGGGUAUUAGGCUCCGCCGCCGGGCGGGCCUUAAAACUAGUGGCAGUGCUUGUAGGCUCUACGCGUAGUUAUUCUCCUCGCUACAGAGUCCUGCGGGUGCUGGCCAUCGAACCUAAUUUAAAGGUUGACCUCGGAUCACGUAGGGAUACCCGC
rnacentral:rRNA from 1 species